rnacentral:rRNA from 1 species
AUUGAACGCUGGCGGCAUGCCUUACACAUGCAAGUCGAACGGUAACGGGCCUUCGGGUGCCGACGAGUGGCGAACGGGUGAGUAAUACAUCGGAACGUGCCCGAUCGUGGGGGAUAACGAGGCGAAAGCUUUGCUAAUACCGCAUACGAUCUACGGAUGAAAGCAGGGGACCGCAAGGCCUUGCGCGGACGGAGCGGCCGAUGGCAGAUUAGGUAGUUGGUGGGAUAAAAGCUUACCAAGCCGACGAUCUGUAGCUGGUCUGAGAGGAUGAUCAGCACACUGGGACUGAGACACGGCCCAGACUCCUACGGGAGGCAGCAGUGGGGAAUUUUGGACAAUGGGCGCAAGCCUGAUCCAGCCAUGCCGCGUGCAGGAUGAAGGCCUUCGGGUUGUAAACUGCUUUUGUACGGAACGAAAAGCCUUCUUUUAAUACAGGAGGGUCAUGACGGUACCGUAAGAAUAAGCACCGGCUAACUACGUG